rnacentral:pre_miRNA from 1 species
AUCACCUGGGGAGCUUGUUAAAACACAGAUUUUCUCAUUCAGUAGUUCUGGGAUUGGGCCCAAGGAUUUGCAUUUCUAACAAGUCCCCUGGUGAUGCUGA